UUGCGGUGAUGAAACCCAAAUCGGUCGAAAGCAUUUUCCGAUCGGAAAAUGUUUGAUGGGAUGGAAACGAUUUUCCUGAGCGGUUACCUGAGCAA